CUGUGUAUUGAAGACGGAUGUAGAGUAGCCUAGGUUGACAAUUGUGUUCAGCAAAGUACAUCGGCAUUCAGGGGAUUUAUAAUAACUGGUUGUUUUGUAAUAUAUUUUACUAACAGGGCAGAAAUGUGUAUAUGUUGAGCCACCUAGGAGAGUUAAAGAACUACUGGAGGAGCACUUUCAUUUACAGAAAGAAGAAUGCAACAUUAAUCAUCCAGCUGCAGCAGCUCUGGAAGAAGUUUGGAAAGUGAAGAACAAUUUCUCCAUUAGAAGCCUGAAACCAGUGUCACAGAGCAGCAGUGACUUACUUUUACAGCCUCAAUUCUACUCAAGACAUGCAAGAAUGAAAAAUUGCUGAAUGUCAAGGCUGUGAAGACCUGAGCCUGCUUUGAUGUGUCAAAUCAAACAUCAGCAUAACUAGCUACCUUUGGAAAUGUAGAUGUUUACUUAUAGGAUUUUGAAUAAAGUUCUAAUUGAA